rnacentral:rRNA from 1 species
UAAAUAGCCCGCACUGCUCAGGCAGUACGCCGGCUUCUUAGAGGGACUAUCGGCUCAAGCCGAUGGAAGUUUGAGGCAAUAACAGGUCUGUGAUGCCCUUAGAUGUUCUGGGCCGCACGGUA